CGGUAGGGGGCUAGCGUUGUCCGGAUUUAUUGGGCGUAAAGAGCGUGUAGGCGGCCAGGUAGGUCUGGUGUGAAAACUCGAGGCUUAACCUCGAGAUGUCAUCGGAAACCAUCUGGCUAGAGUCCGGAAGAGGAAAGUGGAAUUCCUGGUGUAGCGGUGAAAUGCGCAGAUAUCAGGAAGAACACCAAUGGCGAAAGCAGCUUUCUGGGACGGUACUGACGCUGAGACGCGAAAGCGUGGGGAGCGAACAGGAUUAGAUACCCUGGUAGUCCGCGCCGUAAACGAUGGGCGCUAGGUGUGGGCGGUGUCGACUCCGUCCGUGCCGAAGCUAACGCAUUAAGCGCCCCGCCUGGGGAGUACGGCCGCAAGGCUA
rnacentral:rRNA from 1 species